rnacentral:lncRNA from 1 species
AAUAAUUCUUAAAUUAAAAAAUCCAACGCAGAGAGCAGCUAGAGACUCACCUGCGGCAGCUGGGGAAGCAACUCUCGAUUCAGAAGCAACAUAAGCUAGCCUCAACUGCAAAACGACGACGUACCCUUCACUUGUAAAACAUGUUUUCACACUAAUCCUUCAACAAGGGACUAAUGUUUUCACACUAAUCCAACUUUCAAACAAUUUUGGUUACAAACAAAAUCCUUCCAUCGGCUCUUUCAUUUGCCUGAAAAUCGAUAGAUGGACAAUCUCAAACACUGUGACUAUAACAGAAACAUUAAGACGUAAUAUUGCAAAGUAGUAAGACUAACCUGUUAGGCAAGUUGCAGACUCACUUGACCUCAAAAAGAAGAUUCGAUGACAAGUUGAAAGGAAAACUUGUCUUUUAAUUCAUUGGCACAAGCGACAACUAAAGGAUUGCACUCGACUAAAUUAAUGAUCUCUAUCCAAGAGUGGUCAUACGGCCAAUCGAGCUGUUGUAAUUUGUAGCAAUGCUGCAUGCUUAGUCUACGAAGCUCCGGGAAGCUUCCACGUUGAGGUCUCCAUCGCACCAAAUCGGUGUCUUAAAUUCGAAGUUCAAUAAGUUUCAAAAAACUCCCUGGUGUUAUGUCCCACUCUGGGCCUCGAAAUGCAUAGUCGAGUAAUAUGAGAAUCUCGAGAUUUGGCAGCAGCGAACCAAUGUCAUUCAUGUAAUUCCAAGGAUACCCCCCUAACCCAGACAACAUUAACACCUUGAGAUUUGAUGGAAACAUUGAAAGAGGAAUCGUAUUACACUCAUUCUUUAUCUCGGGAUUGUUAACCCAAUAUUCAAGUCUCUCCAAAUUCUGGAGUUGGGAGAUAUAACCCAAGCAACUCGAUGGGUUUCUUUCAUCAUCAUCAUCAUAAGGCUUCAACUCCACUUCAAUAAUUAAUUUCUUUAAAUUAGGAAUUCUUUUGAGAACUUCCCUUGUACAACUCUUUGCACUCACACCAAUAAGUGAGGUGAGUUUGUGCAAGGUAGCAUCAUCAGUAUUAGGGGUUGGUAGGUCGCUUCCCCAAAUCUGAAUCCCCUCUAGUUGUUGCAGGUUCCAAAUUUGCACAGGCAUAUAAGACUGAACUCCACGCUUUUUAAUGUAAAUAUGUGGAUCGGUAAUCAAGAAUUGAAGAUUAAAAAGGUUGGAUAUGGAAUGAGGGAGCUCCCCGUUGUAUUUUAGGGAAAGGUACCGCAGACAAACAAGUUUUAAAAUUUCAAUUGGGAUAUGGUAAAAUCGAACUCUAAGAGCACAUAGUACUCUAAGCAACUUGAAACCCAUGGCAUGUAUUGGGAUUGGAUAUGGGUGAUAAGGACCAUGACAAAGGAGAGAACGGGCAGUGGAUGCACAAUCACUUUUUAUCGAAUCAUACACUUGUUUGAAGCAGAAUAAACUAUUCCAAUGGGCACACAAGCGACGCUGGUCUUUUAUUACAUCAUCACAACCUCGUAAGACAUGUAGAAACUUGAUCCUACUAGCUUCUACCUUACAUAAGUGCUGCCAACAAGAAUGCACGCGAUACGCUCUAUUUGAAAUACCACAAAUUUUCUGUGUCGAGAACAAGAUGAUACGACUUAGAAAGCUUUUCCAAGAAACCUUCAAAACUUUUUUCAACAUUCAGUUCAAGAAAGCCCUCAGCACUCAAAAGAUAAUUAAUAUCGAAUGGUCUCUGAUCAGCAUAAGGAGGGAAAGCUCCCAUAUAGAGGAAAAACAUUUUUAAAUGUUGGGGUAAGUAGUCAUAGCUUGGGAAAAGUACCUCUGAUAUUUGAUUAUAUGCAUCCUCGAAAAGUGAGUUUUGUUGUUUGUAGGCUACCUCAGUCCAAUAUUCUGGGGUCUUGUCGGCUUUUGAUAGGAGCUCUGCAACUGUGACUAUCAUAAGCGGAAGACCUUCACAUUUCUCAGCAAUCUUCUCUCCCAGUUCCUUAAGUUGAGGAGGGAAACCGUCUUCACUAAACACCUUCUCACCAAACACCUUCUCACCAAGUAGUUUCUUACUAUCUUCUUCAUUCAACAAGCUCAAUAUCAUGCCCCCAUGCUGCUUGUAUGUUAUACGUUGUCUACUUGUAAGUAAGAACUGAAUCCCUCCAAGAGUAUUCUUUUCUCGCAAGCAAUUUGUCAAGCGAUUUGUUGCUUGUACCCCCCAAACAUCAUCCAACACGAUGAGGCAUUUCUUAUCCUGCAAUUUUUCUUUCAAUAGUCCAACUAAUUCCUCAUCAUCAUCUUCUCCUUGGGCAAGCAUUCGGUAAGCGUUGGGAUCCACUUGAGCUAGAACGCAACGUAAUAGUUCAUUGGGUUCGCAUUUUCUACCCACUUUGACCCAUGCUCGAAAGUCAAAAUGGCUCCGAAUUGAUGGAUCUUCAAAAAUAUGUUUAGCAAGAGUUGUCUUUCCAACUCCCGCCAUCCCAACGAGCGAACAAUGUUUAUCUUGAAGAAGAUUAUCUCUGGCUUUUUCAAGUUCAUAAGAUAAUCCAACUAUCUUUGAAUUGAUCAUUCCACCAAAAUCAAUUCUUGAGGAAAUAGGCUCGCCCUCUUCCUCUGGCAUAUUCAACUUUUCAAUGAUGUACUCUAUCUCCAUCAUCUUCACCAUCUCGAUGAAGCAAUCAACAUGGUGUUGCAGACUCUGCAGAUCUACAGAGAAUGACAAGUUGUGUCUCUCGCUUUCGAGUUGUUGAAGAAUCUGAGGUAAGAUAUGGGAUUCGAGUAAAUCUUCGAAUUCCCAAACUGCCUCUUUGAUGAGUUCAUCCGCAGCAUUCACCUUCGUCCUGAUCUUGCUGCAGCUGGUGUCAUCCAAUUUGAGCAGAAUUCUCUGCAAGUGAUCCAUCUGGUCGUAGGCAGGUUGUAAGAUUUGUGGAGAGUGGGAAACGAGAGAAAUGCGAGACGAUUGUAGAAUACGCUGAAUCGUAUUCUUGAGAGAAGCCGCCGCACCAUAAGCCGCCAUACCCAAAUUAUCAGCUGAAUCGAUUCAUAUUCAGUCGCCUAACAAAGAAUUGGAGAAGAAGAAGGAAUUAUAAUAAGCAAAUAGAGAUGAAACAAAUGAUAGAUCUCAGCUCUCUGCUUACCUCUUGGAGGAGUUGGCGCAAGUCAACGGUGGCAGCAGCUGGUUUUGAUACAAAUUCAGAAACAUUCAAUACCACAUUCAAGAACUUUAGUAAAUGAUUUGAAAAGAUGUGUAUAAUGUAAUGCUAAAUGCUAAAGUAAUAAAUUAAAGUUUGAAUAUAAAUUUAAUUCAAAAUCAUUAUUUAUGGGAUAUGAGAAAACUAAUGUUGGAAUGGGCAAAUGGGAUCAAAAGCCAACAGCUCUCAAUACCAGAUCUCGAUGCAAAGCAUGUGGGAAUAGUGAUGGCGUUUCAGACGAUGUUGAGUGUAAUCCAAAUACUCAACAGGGAUUUCAUGUAUUUUAAAUAUGAAGCCAUAAAUUAAUUAGUAUAUUGCCAUAAUCUUAAAAUUUUAAGAUAUAUAUAUAUAUAAAAAAAACACAUAAACUGUUUUCACACAAAUCCAACUUACAACAAUUUUGGUUACAAACACAAUUCAGCACUCAGGUUUCACAAUUUAUGUAAUUUGUGAAUUUAAUAAACUCUGAUCACAAUUUAUGAGUUAUAAAAAAAUAUAUAAAAAAGGAAAAUUGCUAACAUGGACUACACAUUAGCGGUGUUUAUCAUAGGUGCUCAUAAAUUGUGUGCAGUAUAUUGAUCCUCGUAUUUAUAAUAUCCUUAUUUUAAAUUUUUCUAGAUAGUUUUAUAAAUUUAAAAUAACAAGGAAAUAGUUAAGAGUUAUCAUAAUUAAAACAAUAAAAACUAAAAUUAGCAUAGUCGAAAUGAUAAUUAUUAAAAAAAUAUAGGAAACAGAAUAUUAAUCAAUUUUCCUUUUUUUCUAUAUUUUUUUAUAGCCUUCUGAAAACAUAAGAUUAAGUUGACAUUUGAUCUAAUGUUUAUGUGACGAUGUGUCCUUAAAUGUUUUAAAUUGUCAAUUAGUUCUAGAUCAUGACAUUGUUUAAUAUAUUUUGUGAUUACACAAUCAGACUAAUUAAAAGAAUCAUUAAAAAAAAUUCUCAUACCUACUCCAUUGACAUAAUUUUUUUUUGAAGAGACUCCAUUGACAUAAUUAGUAGGUCUAUUUCAUGCUAUAUAUGAAGGAGUCCACGUGUAAUUUAUUAAUGUUGGAUUUAUCAUAUUUUAAUGUGGUCAUGCUUUUUGUGAUUCAUCAUACAAGUACUCCAUUGGCAAAUUAUUCGUAGUGUUUGCAACACAGUUUUUAACUCAGGGUUUUUUAUUUUUUUAUUGAAGGCUCGAAAGAUCAUGAUUAGUUAUGUGGCAAUUAAACUAAUUAAAGAAAUAAAGAACUACUUAAUCUAAUUAUGAAAAAAGAACUUAUUAAAAAUAAUUAAAAUCCAAAAUUAAGGGGUCGAAAUUUAUGAAUUAUUUAGCCUUCUCUUAUUUCUAAUCAUUUAAAUCCAAAUUGAAAUUGAUAGUAAUUUUAUUUCUUACUCGAAAGUGCCAUGGAUUUUGAAUGUCUUCUAAAGAAAUCUAUAUAUAUAUAAAAGCUCAUCCAACUUCACAAUUUUUUUCCCGNAAAAUAUCACUUUUUCAUAUAACAUACGUGUCAAGUUGUUAUUUUAUUUUUGUUUAUAGAAGAUUAAUAAUAGUUCUCUAUGGUGGAAUAUCUAAAGUGCCAUGGGUUUUGAAUGUCUUCUACAGAAAUUGAGUAGAAUUUGAUGCCUUUUAAUAGUGAGGCAUAAUUUAAAAGAUAAAUGAUGGAGUUGGGCCUUAACUUUUUGUAUUGGGCCGAAAUUUUGUUUAUUAUAUGGAGAAGCCCAAUUGAUAGGCAAUGCCGUAAUAGGUUAGCUGAUAAAAAUGCUUUAGAAAUUUUAUGAAUGAUUAAUUAAUCUAAUUCUUUUCUUUUCUUCUUUGACAAUGAGAGCUCUUAAUCAGAUUCACUUCAUAGCUAAAUCAACAACAUUUUUAACCUCACAACUCUUGCAGUUAUUUAUUUACAUUGGAAAAGAACAAACUUAAUUAGCACAAUAAUUUUGUUCAUACAAACUCCCACCAAAUCAUGGCUUUUCUGUAGUCAUCAGCAAAACAACUUUUAAAUUUCAAGAAAUGUAAAAUAAACCUCAAAGAAAUAAAAUAACAAAAGAAGACAACAACAACAUGGGUUCUCAAAAUAAAAUGACAAUAAGACUACUGGAAAAAGCUCAUCCAAGUACUCAACAGGGAUUUCAUGAAUUUUAAAUAUGAAGCCCAGAAAUUAAUUAAUAUAUUGCCAUAAUCUUGAAAUUUUAAACCAUAUAUAAAAAAAAAACACAAACUGAUUACACACAAUAUGAAACAAAGUUAAAACUAAUGCAGAAGUCACAAAUAUUACAAUCCUUGAACAAGGGACAAAUAGUUUUCACACAAAUCCAACUUACAACAAUUUUGAUUACAAACAAAAUUCAGCACUCAGGUUUCACAAUCCUUGAAUUCAUACGACAAUGUGGCAAUACAACAAUCGAAAUUAUGGGAUAACGCGACGUCUGACCCCUUCGAUCAGCUCUCUCAUUUGCCUGAAAAUCGGUAGAUGGAAUCUCAAACAUUGUGACUAUAAUAGGAACAUUAAAAUGUGAUAUUGCAAAGAUAUUAGGUAGACCUAUGCAAAUCCUUGUGAUAAUCUAAAUAAUUUAGAAUCGAUCAAACUGCUUGAUAAAAAUAAUGCAAACUCUCAACUUUGAGGGAACAGCCUGUGACUUAAAAUACAAUUUUAUGUCCAAUAAAAUUAACAUCAAAUCUUGAUUUCAGCAACUCGAUCUAAAAUCAAGAGCACAUCAUAUGAGUUAGUAACAUCUACACAAAUGCUUAUGCAGAGCGGAAAAGAGGAACCAAAUUUUACGAGCACGAUAUUAAAUACGAGUUUGGAAAGGCAAUGUAAUUAAUAAAUAUUUUUUAUAGUAUUUUGAUUCGAAUAUUUUGUGAAGCAAUAAUUCUUAAAUUAAAAAAUCCAACGCAGAGAGCAGCUAGAGACUCACCUGCGGCAGCUGGGGAAGCAACUCUCGAUUCAGAAGCAACAUAAGCUAGCCUCAACUGCAAAACGACGACGUACCCUUCACUUGUAAAACAUGUUUUCACACUAAUCCUUCAACAAGGGACUAAUGUUUUCACACUAAUCCAACUUUCAAACAAUUCAGCACUCGGAUUUUCAUAAUUAAUCAUCAACAAAAUCCUUCCAUCGGCUCUUUCAUUUGCCUGAAAAUCGAUAGAUGGACAAUCUCAAACACUGUGACUAUAACACAAACAUUAAUUAAGACGUAAUAUUGCAAAGUAGUAAGACUAACCUGUUUGGCAAGUUGCAGAGUCACUUGACCUCAAAAAGAACAUCUAACACUAAGUUUAAAGGAAAACUUGUUUUUUAAUUCCUUGGCACAAGCGACAGCUAAAGGAUUGCACUCGUCUAAAUUAAUGAUCUCUAUCCAAGAGUGGUCAUACGGCCAAUCGAGCUGUUGUAAUUUGUAGCAAUGCUUCAUGCCUAGUCUACGAAGCUCCGGGAAGCUUCCAUGUUGAGGUCUCCAUCGCACCAAAUCGGUGUCAUGAAUUCGAAGUUCAAUAAGUUUCAAAAAACUCCCUGGUGUUAUGUCCCACUCUGGGCCUCGAAAUGCAUAGCAGUUUAACAUGAGAAUCUCGAGAUUUGGCAGCAGCGAACCAAUGUCAUUCAUGUAAUUCCAAGGAUACCCCCCUAAACCAGACAACGUUAACACCUUGAGAUUUGAUGGAAACAUUGAAAGAGGAAUCGUAUUA